rnacentral:rRNA from 1 species
GAAACUGGGUAUAAUACCCGAUAGGUCUCGAUUGCUGGAAUGCAUCGAGAUUUAAAGCUCCGGCGCCUAAGGAUGGGUCUGCGGCCUAUCAGGUAGUAGUGGGUGUAGCGUACCUACUAGCCUACGACGGGUACGGGUUGUGAGAGCAAGAGCCCGGAGAUGGAUUCUGAGACACGAAUCCAGGCCCUACGGGGUGCAGCAGGCGCGAAAACUUUACAAUGCUGGCAACAGCGAUAAGGGAACCUCGAGUGCCAGGUUACAAAUCUGGCUGUCGAGAUGCCUAAAAAGCAUUUCAUAGCAAGGGCCGGGCAAGACCGGUGCCAGCCGCCGCGGUAACACCGGCGGCUCGAGUGGUAACCGUUAUUAUUGGGUCUAAAGGGUCUGUAGCCGGCCGGAUAAGUCUCUUGAGAAAUCUGGCAGCUUAA